ensembl:snRNA U2 U2 spliceosomal RNA
AUCACUUCUCAGCCUUUUGGCUAAGAUCAAGUGAAGAAAUCUCUUUCACAUCUUUGCCAAGACUUUGAAGUAUUUGACUUUUUAUUUUUGCCAAUCUAAUGUGUUUGAAAGGCAUCUCGUUGUUUUAAUUUGCAUGUUCCUGAUUUCCAAUGAAAUUAUG